GAAAAAUAAAUGGAUUGCUCAAAUUUGUCAAAGUAGCGUAUAACCGAUUUUAUUUCUCUUCUGUUCUAGUUUUUUUUUUUUUUUAAAGGUAAUUACUCUCACAAUUUAUCAUCUGACAAAAGGAAGCAGCUGAUAAAAGAAGCCCUCCUUUGUUCUGGACUUCCUGGCCGGGUCUCACAAGUCCUGUUUGCUUUGACCGCCUCUGGAGUGUUUGCCCAGUGAGGUCAGGGAAGGGAAGGAGAACACCGCCCGCCUGUUGUCGGAGCCGCAGGAAGCCAGCUGCGAGCUCCGCUUGCCAGGGCUUCACAGGGCUUGGCAGCUCAAUUUCCUCUCAGCCUACCAGAUGAGACAGAAGAGUCCACCGGUCACUUAUCUAAGCAAAGCACAUUGGGAGCCAUUAGAACUUGCGCCACCCGGCAGACUGUCCUGAACCAGAGAGGAGAAAUCAAGGCCGCCUCACCAUAUGAGACUCAGGUAAGUUGAUCCCUUCUUCCCAUCCCUCCCUGACUGCCCCGGUGUAGACCGGUUGGAAACACAAGGCGGGGCGGGGGGAGUCAGGCAAAGGAAGACCAUCUUUUCUGUCCAUUCAGGUCCUUUGAGCCACAAGUCUAGGCAGCAGUGGCAGAGGAGAAAUCACCACAUUGGAUAGAAGGCUGGUGUUUCUAUCAGGGCCCAGCUGUGUUUAAUCCUUGAAACUGGCCAGAAAGUUAUGGACUCUGCUAAGAUCAGUUAAAGAUCAAGAAAAGCAAUGAGUAAUGGCACAGCAAUGAGUAACGAAAAAACUGUCUCGUCUUUCUGUCUCUACCACACUGAGUGCUCCCAAUGAACCACUUACAUUUGGAUUCUCUUAGGUGACCUAUUUUCCCUAAUCCUUUUGAGCCAUUCAAAGCUAAUUUUUCUGUAUCCUUUUACUGACAAGUAACAAAACCAGAGCUCUCAGUUUCUCUCACCGCUUUGCCUGUAUCUCCUUGGCUCAUCCUCUCCUACAGCAGACAGGCUUUCUCUGGGUGGCUGAGAAUUAGGCCACCUUCUUCUUCAACUUCAACUCUUUUCUGAUCCAUAACCCCUGGGACAGGGUCCUUCUCCAGCUCCAACCAAAAAAUCUCAGAGACGGACCCUGAUUGGUCUUGUUUGGGUCACAUGGUCCCCCAGUAAGGGGUCAGAGUCUCGUGACUGUCGUACCCCCUCCCAGGUCAUGUGUUUGGAGUUGGGGAUGUGCAAGUCCCCAGAGUAAGGCUGGGGCAUGCCGGAAACAAAGUACUGUAGAGGGCUCACGUGAUGCCAAGGGGCAUCUGCAGUAA
rnacentral:lncRNA from 1 species